CACUCCUGCAUACAAUAGUCUAUCCACAUUUUCUGAUCCAUUUCCCUAAAGUUGAACAAGAGGUUCACUGCCUUCUAGAACAAGCACUGCAGCAAUCAACAUCUUCUUCUCCGUCUCCUUCUGGAUCCAGGCAGGAACCAAGACUAGGGUUGCAGGGCAGACUGUCAUCCGAGCCAGGCCUGUCCUGCUGUCUGCUCUCUCCAGAGAGCAUCCUUCAUCCUGAUAAACGGGCUGUGAGCUGAGCACGUGACCGAGCUCCUUAAGAAUAAGAACCAGACCCAGAGAACUGCUGCUCUGUUCAUUCCGCAAGCGUCCAGUGAAACUUUCAAGUCACCAUGCUGGGUGCUAUCGGGGAGACGGAGACGGCCAAGAGAUGGGCCCAGGCCUUGCAGGCCUUUCAGCGAGGCAUGAAAAGGGGACAUGUUCACCAAUCAUUGAAGGUGGAAAGCCAUAAGGAAGGUGAAGAAUAAAGCCUGCGCCAUCUCAGCCUCACUCUCAUCACCUGACAGCGAAUGGGCGGCUCAGCCUCAACCUCAGCCUCCACCUCAGCCAUCGCCCUGAGCCGUCUGUCAAGACCCAGAACCAGGGGUAGGUCUGGUGAUGUUGGUGAG